rnacentral:lncRNA from 1 species
GAUCCACAUAAGAGAGUUGGUUUGCAAGUAUGAAUAGAGGAUAGACAUGGGUCUUUGGCCCUUGCUACCUUCUUGCUGUCUUCUCUUUAGCUUCUUGUCCAAACCAAUGCUUCCCAUAGAGAAGCAUUGGAGAUGAGAAGCAUAUGCACAGCCAAUUCUGUGUUCCUCAAAUCAAAUGUUUCUAAUAGAGAAGCAUUGAAUCCAAUGUUUCUCUAUGAAAAGCAUCAGAGGACUUUCUUCCGCAAGCAAUGCAUGAAGACAAAGAACAUCACAGAACCAAGUGUGACCCGGUUGUAAGAGUGGAAGGAAGACAGCCAAUAGAGAAUGUUUAUCCCUGAAAUGUAAACAUACCCAAGACGGCAAUGCUUUACAUUGCAGGACCAAAAACAGAGCCAAUGCACCGAUCUAUUUUUUUUAAAUGAAGUCGCCUGGGGGCCUAUAGUGGCCAUUUACUUACUUUUACUCGUAGACAACAGGUUUUUGGCUAUUAUGGCCUAUAGUUUGUAAUUUCCUGUUACAUUUCCAACAAUUCAAACUUCAGUGUAUGGAAAUUUGGGUUAGCGAUAAGGACUAGAGUAGUAGUUAUGGGAAUUAGUUUGUAAUACAGGGCGCAGCAGAACCGAUUAUGCAGUUUUGCAGGGUCAAUGCUUGGGCUGUGGUGGGGGGAGGCAGGUGCACCUGGUCUCAUUGUGUUCUGUCCGUCACCCUAUUUUAGUAGCCAAUAUGGUUGUGACCGGAGUACGUCGAGGCUUUGCUGUGCAGGCAAAUUUAAAAAACAGCCCGCCUGUGAUCGCAACGCAAAGAGCUUUUCGGCGACGGUUCAACAUUCUGUGACACAACGCCGUUCCUAAUGCAAACACAAUUCGGUCAUGGGUUAGGCGGUUGGAGGAAACUGGUACCACUCUUAGAAGAGGUACACAUGGCCGACGCAGGUCCAUAGGAACACCGGAAAAUGUGCAGCUGGUGUGAGUAGCAGUUGAGCAGUCGCCAGGACGUUCUGCUCGAAUGUAUGCUGUUGCUUUGGGAAUGUCAGACCGCAGUCUGAGGAGGAUUCUUCAUUUAGAUUUGCAGUUUCCUCUCUACAAGAUGAUGUUGGCAAAUGCUUGCACAGAUCCCUCCCGCAGCAGCUUUCUUCAGUAGCGACGAGGCACAUUUUUAUCUCAGUGGAGCUGUGAAUAAGCAAAAUUUCCACUACUGGGCUCAAAAUAACCCCCGAAUGAUUCAUGAAAGAUAGCUACAUUCCCCUAAACUAACAGUGUGGUGUGCCGUAUCACAAUUCACAGUGAUAGGCCCGUACGUUUUUGAGGAGGAAGCCGUGACCGUGACCGUGAAUUCUGAACGUUAUGUCUCAAUGUUGGAAAAUUUUCUGCAGCCCAGAAUGGAAGAGAUUGUUGAAGAGGAAUUUGAGGGAGUUCUGGAUCCAACAAGAUGGGGCUACAGCUGACACAGCCCGAAAUUCACUCAAUGUUUUGAAAGAAAUGUUACCCGGACGUCUGGUCUCUCUGAGGGGUGAUGUUGGGUGGCUGGCGCGGUUACCAGAUUUGAGCAUUUGCGAUUUUUUUUUUCUUUGGGGGUAUCUGAAGGAAAAAAAGUGUUGAAACAUCGCCCUCACACCCUACCAGAGCUAAGGGAGCAGAUUAUUGAAGAAGUUAACACCAUACCCUGCGAUAUGUGUGAACGAGCUGUACAAAACUUCAGAGAUCGGCUCCAACAGUGUGUUGCUGCUAAUGACCGCCUUCUCCAGGACAUUAUUAUCAAAAUUUAAUGACUAUAACAUGAUACUUACUGCUGAAUUCGAAAAUAAAAACAGUUUUUCUCUAUAUAUCUCAGUUAAAUUUUUAUAAUGCCUCAAAACUGCUUAAUCGGUUCUGCUGCACCCUGUAUGUGAUUAGACUGUGUUAUGGUUAGGUUAUAAAUAAGAAUUAGGCUUCUAAAAAGAUUAUAAUUUAUGAAUUGUAAUAGUUUGUGAUUAGAAUUAGCGGUUUUAUGGCAGUUUAGUUUAAAGUAUAUGACCAGACUAAUGAGUGACUCCCCAUUCAUAAAACUGGCUUGAAAAGAAGCUUACCUUUUUCAUCAGCUGACCGCUCUCAGCCAAUCAGCGGUGCCCCUGCCUGGCAGCACUCUCUGAAACAGAGAUUUCGGAAGCAGAAUGCUACCUGGGGGACCUGAGAAUGUGCGCUGGAGGCUCAUUUUGAGGUUAAACCGUUUAACCCCUGAAGGUAAGAACGCGCCUAGGAGCCUCCAGACACCAUGACAACUUAAUUUAGAUGAAGUUGUUAUGGUGCCUAAAUUGUCCCUUUAUGACUAGAAAUAAGUGGUAAAAUAAAAGUUACAGGAAUUGAUGCUUGUGUUUACGAUUAUGUUUUAAAUAAAUGUAAAUCUAAGCUUUGGGCAGGGACCUCUUCUCCUACUCAGUACGUCAAUCAUGUUUUGUUAGACUUUUGUGUUUAUUUUGUACAGCGUUACAGAUUAUGUUAGCACUAGAUGAAUAAUUGUAAUUUUAUAUUAUGGGUUAUGGGAGUUAAGAUCAGAUAAAGCGGGGUUGAAAUCAUGCAGUGCACCUCAUUGAGUAUAAGGUAGCUUUAUUCUACAACUGACAUCAUUCUCAGCCAGAAAGAGUAUAUCAGCCCAAGGCAUCAGGAGGGCAUGCGAGAUACUGUUUCAAUACCGUACCCCUACCCAAAAUAUGCUUUUAAAUCAUUACUCAUCUGAUGCAUGCAAUAUUUCAAACAGGUGCAGACAAAAAACAAAACUGUCUAUUUCCAAAAAUUGACAACAGAAUUGCAAAAGUUAAAGUACCGUGUUUCCCCGAAAAUACACCCUACCCCGAAAAUAAGCCCUAGCCGGAUUAUUGGGGUGGGCUGCAAUAUAAGCCCUACCCCGAAAAUAAGACCUAGGCAUUGCACCUUUGCGGCCCGGCGAAACUUCCUUCUUCUACCGUAUGAGGAGGAGCGUUGCGGGCCGCAGCAUCACGCAACGUGAUGACGACCUUUCGUAGCGCCGUCAGUCUGCCUUCACGGAUCUUCAGCGGAAGGAUCCAUUUCCGGGCGGUGAGGCACCCAGUGGUCGGACUCGGCAAGGAAUCUUUGAAAUGUGAGUA